GAAUCGGUGAUGGAAGAUACUCAACUCAGCCAUUGCUGCAUCAUUGUAGAUGAUGCCCUAGGGUUUUGCUCUCGGAAUGAUAGAAUACGAUCACAGAUCUGCCUGUCGAGGAACCGAGACAUUGAUUCUGGUGAUCGGAAGAUGUUUCGAUGUAGUCGACCAUUGACCAGUAAAUACAUCCUUGCCAACAGAGUAGUGUUAAUAUUCCCUUAGGCGAUCUGCUGCUCAUUGCAUGAAGUUGUUCAAGGGUUCUGCUCAAGUUACGCUCUGGCGUUAUCCCACAACGUAACGCCAUCACACUCCAGAUGUUCCAAGUGUAGGGACAUUCGAAGAAGAGGUUUGGAGGCCCCAACCGAUUAUUCUGUCCCUGGUUGGGCAGCGGUUGAGCACAAAGAGCCAAGUGAGGAAACUAUGUCUAGGAAUUCCUCCCUUGUUCCAGACAAUGUUACACCAAGUUACCGCUGGGCCUUGGACACGCAGGUUAGCGUAAACCAUUCCAAUCGAGUAGUUCUGAUGAACCCUCCCUUCAAUUUCCCAUUCGUAAAAGUCGUCCUCAUUUGUAAGAUGGAUUGUAGUGAGCAGAGCUUGAACCUCAACCUGUCUAUCCGAUCGAGCAGGAGGGAGAAGCCAAGUACCGUUGGAGUGAAGCGAUCGAUGCAAGAGUUGCCAUGUCUUGAAUCCCUAGUGAUGAGUUGGUUCUUAAUUGCCAUAAGGAGACCAAUUGUCCGUCCAAAUACGACAGGAGAAGCGCCUGUGGGGAGAUACUGUCCAUAAGUUACUCAGAUCACCUUGUAGAACUUCUUCUCGAAACCAAAUGAGCUUGAGACAGCAGGCUUUGUUCCAAAGAGAGAGGUCAUUUAUCCCUAAGCCUCCUUCAAUUUUUGGUCUGGUAAUAUGUUCCCAAGAGACUCGUGCGGAGUGAUGGCUCUCAAUGCUUCCUUGCCAGAGAAACACGCCACACAAAGAGUUGAUACGCUUGACACACGCCUUGGGUAGGAUAAACGUUGAGCACCAGAAGGAGGCCUUCACUAUUAAGGAGAGUAAGCUUCUGGGUACAUAAUGGCACUCCCAGUUACCGCACAGGCCGGGACCCCAGAGGCAUACCCGUGGAGAAUUGCACCAGGUCGGUCUCUGCUACUGUUAGACCCGAGGCAAAGAAUGAUGUUUUGUGGACACUCACAGCUAGACCAGAACGUUGUUCGAAAUCCCUGAGGACCUGCAGAACAGCUUGAACCGAGUCCAAAGUUCCAUCAAUGAAUAUCACUUGUUUUAGCAUGAAAGACAGAUUAUUCAGGGCAAUUACGAAGAGAUAAGGGGAGAGAGGAUCCCCUUGACGCAAGCCUCUAGUCCCUUUGAAGUACCCAUUGACCUCGCCAUUGUAGCCUACUGUGAAACUCGUAGUACAGAUGCAGGCACGGAUCCAGGAGAUGAAGAGCGGCGGGAGGUUUAAUCCCUCGAGACAAGAGAGAAGGAAAGCCCAAGACAAGUUUGGUUGGGGGCUAUUAACGACGACAAGAUAGGCUUUAGUCUCUUCACCAGUAGCCUAGACACGACCUUAUAGAUAGUGUUUAGGCAGGAGAUGGGCCGGUAAUCUGUUAUCUUCGACGCUCCUGGAUGCUUCGGGACGAGGGAGAGUAUAGUGGAGUUUGUGGCUAAAGGCAUGAAGGAGGUGAGGAAAAAUUGGCGAACGGAGUUGACAACUUCAGAGCCCAAGAUAACCCAAGAAGAUUUAUAAAAACCCGAGGUAUUGAAGUCAUGAGAAGGCUCUCAGUAGGGGAGCAUGAGUAGGGGACCAGAGAGUUGAACCAAGCUGGUGGAGAGUUAAUUCCCAUCAUAGGAGUAGGGCAAGGCCCAAGGAUGCUGGUAAAGUGUUGAAUCGCAUGCGAAGACAUGUCGAGUGGAUCUGAUAAGAUGACGCCAGAGGAGAGGAGGAAGGAUGUGAUGGUGUUGUAGUUGAGCCGUGUUUGUACGAUCCGGAAGAAGAAAUGCCAGCGUUGAGACACUUCUUUUUCCAGUUCAAAAAGCUCAGAACUUGGGGAUUGCAUUGCUUGCACCUGCACAACUUGAAGCAAACGCAUAAGGCUGAGAGAUUCCAGGCAGUGCUUCCGGCUUGUGUCCACGCUUCUAAUACCACUUGGUGAAAACUGGGGUGUUUGGCUAGGUAGUUAUAGAAUUUAAAGGGUCUGGUUCCAUGGGAAGGAGUUUUAUAGGCUAGGUCAACAAGACAGGGACAGUGAUCAGAUGUAAGGGAGGGGAGGAAAGAAGCGGUGCAGUUAGGGAAGAGGUUGAGGAUUUGGCUAUUGAUGAGAAGGCGGUCGAGUUUUUUGGUGAUAGGGGAAUCAGGUUGUUUGUUUGACCAGGUGAAGUGAGAGCCAUGAUAUCGUAGGUCAUACAAGCUCAUGUGGUGGAAGCAGUCUCUUAAUUCUACCAUGCUGGCAGUUAAGUGAUCAACUUCAGUACUUGAGUGCUCAGAAGGAUGGAUAAUUUGAUUGAAGUCACCUCCCAACAUCCAAGGGACUGUAAGGUUAUAUUGUUACUACUUUGAAAAGUUCGCUCAUCUCCCUCCACCUUUAUAAUUCCCGUUAGGAGACAUGCAUGCACCACUACUGAGUUUUUGUUAAUU